rnacentral:hammerhead_ribozyme from 1 species
AUCCAGUUGACGAGUCCAAAAUAGUGCGAAACGCGCGUUGUGGAU